CGGUGCCAGCAGCCGCGGUAAUACAGAGAGUGCAAGCGUUAAUCGGAAUCACUGGGCGUAAAGCGCACGUAGGUGGAUAUUUAAGUCGAAUGUGAAAGCCCCAGGCUUAACCUGGGAAUUGCACCCGAUACUGGGUAUCUCGAGUAUGGUAGAGGGAAGUGGAAUUUCCGGUGUAGCGGUGAAAUGCGUAGAUAUCGGAAAGAACACCAGUGGCGAAGGCGGCUUCCUGGACCAAUACUGACACUGAGGUGCGAAAGCGUGGGGAGCAAACAGGAUUAGAAACCCUUGUAGUCCCA
rnacentral:rRNA from 1 species